rnacentral:lncRNA from 1 species
CCUGGUUUGAGCAGCAGUCAGCUGGCUUCUGGGGACUUUCCCUAUUUCAUUCCCUCUAACCCCCAGAGACUCUGGAGGCAGCUGCACAACUGUGCUUUCUUUAGUUAUAAAAGCUAGCUUGUGACAUCCUUUGUGUGAUUCAGUUAAAAACUGAAUUAACUGAAAUCAAUUCAACAACAACUGCCCCGGUGCUUCCCCGUAGAUAGCACCGCUGUUGUUUCAGGAACACAGUCAUCCCUCAGAAAUGGAUUGGGUGACAAGUGGUCUGCAUGCUGCACACGGGCACUGGGGCAAAUGGAACAAACAAAACAGUCAAAGAGGAGAGCAGGGAGAGAAGACAGAUUCAGUGUUGCCCUCGGCAGAUGCAGAGGAAACGAGCACAAAACCCUUUCACAUGUGCCGGGCGCAAGCGACGCUGCCCAGAAACCCCGCGCCAAGCCCUGCAGCCGAGGAAUUGGAGCUUCUGUGUUACUCCAAACAAUGCAUCUGUCUUUCAUUACACUCGGAUUUAGAUGAAAUCGGGGCGCUUGUGGGCAAACCAGUGAAGAUUUCAAAUAAGAGAAAUUGUAUUAUAUUAGAAUCAUAACGUUUUAAAAAUAAUUCUGUAUUGAAGGAAGUUUUUAAAGAAUGGCUAAUGGUGCCUUAGAUGCAAUGAAGCCCUUUCAUUCGUUCUCUCCCCCUGUCGCCCCAUUCUCAUCUUCACUGUCCUAAAUGAGGCCUCCCUGGUCCCCUCGCCUGGGCCGUCACAGAGGCCUCUGAGUGAUGUUUCUCCUCCCAGCUUUCCCCUUUCUGCCAGGCUCCCUCCCUCCAGUUAGCUUCCCGAAGCCUGGACAGGGUGAACCGACUUGAAGGCUUGAAUUUGAGCCCCCUCCUUGCUCACCCCACGCUGGGCCAGCGCCUCUCCCCUGGGUUACCCUAGUGCGCUGUGCUUACCCGGAUCUCAACACUUAUCACAAGGAUGGAGGUUUGUGGCCAUUUCCCCUUUUUCCCCCUGAGACAGGGGUCUCCACAGGGGUGGGGCUUUGACCCCUUUAUGGGUGUAUUCUUGGUACUGGUUCCUCCAGGCAACCAAUAAAUAUCCACUGGCUGAUGGGAUGAGUGAUGUCACUCCCCAUCCGCGGUUCCUCACUGAGAUUUGGUGCGUUCUUUGGGUUGUAGUCAGACCUCUCUCCCCCAGGGCCCUUUCCGUUCUGCCGUCCUCAGCGCCCCCUACCAGCCCCUGCCCCACGCUGGCUCCACCAAACCAUUUACCGUUUCCUGCGCAGGCAGCGCGGCCUCCCUGUUUGGUGCCUCUGCUAUGCUGUUCCUGGCCCUAGACAGCACUUAACGUGCAUCUCCAGAAACUGUCACUCCUCUGGAGGGCUUUUCUUCAUCAGACCUUUCUAAAGCUUUUGUCUGCAUUCUGUAUGUGAGACCAUGUAGCACUUGCCACAUGCGUGUCCUUGGUAGAGUGUUGGCACUUGGGGAUAGGGACCUGGUGUUAGUAUUUUUUUUUAAACCCCCAUAGACCCUAACAUACGUGUAAGGCACCUAGGAGAGGCUCAACACAUGCUUUUGGCUUUUUAACCUCUGUUAAAAAAAAGUCACCAUUGCAAACCCUUGUCCAGCAUCUUUGGUUCAUGUACAUACAUACAUACCCUGAGCAUGCAUGACUUUACCAAAUCACCACAGGAGCUCUGCCAGGAAAUAAAGUCAGAAUCCUGAACCUCAGAAUGGUUCAGGUACUUGCCUAAGGCCACUCAGCUAACGCUACUAACUGGGAUUUAAAUCUAGGUUUCUGUCUCUAAACCAUGUGGCCUAUCUAGUUCACAAUGUUUGGAAUUCAAGUGUGAUGGGGGCCCAGCUUGAACUAAGGCCCCAAAAACGGGCCAGUGGCUGAGAGGUGGAAUGAAUUUGAGAACUGUAUUAUCUGUUAAUCUGAUAGUUUUGCAAUCCAGCCCGCAUCGUUCCUGGAGGAGUGAAAGGUUCAAAGAGAUCUUAAGGUAGCUCUACUCUCUCUCCUAUGCAGCUUCUUAACUCAAGCGAGGGAAGAGCCCGAGGUCCCUUAAUAACCAUCCCCAGCGCCCACUGAGUGUGGACUGACAUAGAGGCUGGAUGGGAAUUGAGGCAGAGUCUUGUCCAGACCUGGGAGAAAAUUCACACUUUGGCAGUGUGAACUGGGGACUUAGUUUAGAGGCCAACGUAGAGGAUAUUCUCUUGUUAGAUGGAGCAGAAGAGGAAGAGAUUGGCAGCCACCAAAUGGAAGCUGAAAAGGCUGUGCCAUGAACACAUGUGACUGAGAUAUCGAAAGGAAUUUGAGGGAGAUUAUGGCUAUUGCAGAGCAAGUGAAAACAGAAACAAAUACUAUUUUGUUACUCAUUGUGACCUAAUUUUUUCCUCCCAAUUACCCUUCCUGAUAUGGCCUCAGUGUUUUCAAAAACAAAUAUUUUACAUCUUAUUUUUUUUAAGCCAAACAUUUUUUUUUAAAUGUGGAACUUUGUAGAACUUCAUGAUUAGGCAUGAGAACAGAAAAAUAAUAUAAAUAAAAAUCUGAAAUCAUGUCUAUUUUAAUCAAUUUCUGCUUAUCUGAGAAAGGCUGUUCUUUGAUUCAUGACAGCUUAAAAACAAAUCGCAAUAUCUAUUUAUCUGUAAAAUAUAUUAUUUAUAGAUUUAAAAUAAUAAUUCAGGCCUACAAAUUCUUUUUCCCUUUGAAAAUGUAUCUUCACAAUUAU